AUUGAACGCGGGCGGCAGGCCGAACACAUGCAAGUCGAGCGGAUGAAGGGAGCUUGCUCCUGGAUUCAGCGGCGGACGGGUGAGUAAUGCCUAGGAAUCUGCCUGGUAGUGGGGGAUAACGUCCGGAAACGGGCGCUAAUACCGCAUACGUCCUGAGGGAGAAAGUGGGGGAUCUUCGGACCUCACGCUAUCAGAUGAGCCUAGGUCGGAUUAGCUAGUUGGUGGGGUAAAGGCCUACCAAGGCGACGAUCCGUAACUGGUCUGAGAGGAUGAUCAGUCACACUGGAACUGAGACACGGUCCAGACUCCUACGGGAGGCAGCAGUGGGGAAUAUUGGACAAAGGGCGAAAGCCUGAUCCAGCCAUGCCGCGUGUGUGAAGAAGGUCUUCGGAUUGUAAAGCACUUUAAGUUGGGAGGAAGGGCAGUAAGUUAAUACCUUGCUGUUUUGACGUUACCAACAGAAUAAGCACCGGCUAACUUCGUG
rnacentral:rRNA from 1 species